CCGCGGGGCAGUACGAAACCCGUAAGGUGAAAUGAAGGUGAACGCCGGCGCGGUCCGGCGGAGGUUGGAUCCCGUCCCGUCGGGGCGGGCGCACUACCGGCCGAUCUUCUCCGCCCUGUCGGCGAGGUCGAGCGAGAGCGUGCAAGUCGGGACCCGAAAGAUGGUGAACUAUGCCUGAGGAGGUUGAAGCCAGAGGAAACUCUGGUGGAGGACCGUAGCGAUUCUGACGUGCAAAUCGAUCGUCAAAUUUGGGUAUAGGGGCGAAAGACUAAUCGAACCGUCUAGUAGCUGGUUCCCUUCGAAGUUUCCCUCAGGAUAGCUGGCGCUCUGUCGCAGUUUUAUCUGGUAAAGCGAAUGAUUAGAGGUCUUGGGGGCGAAACGCCCUCAACCUAUUCUCAAACUUUAAAUUGGUAAGAAGCCCGACUCGCUCGUUUGGAGCCGGGCAUGGAAUGCGAGUGCCAAGUGGGCCACUCUUGGUAAGCAGGACUGGCGAUGCGGGAUGAACCGAACGCCGGGUUAAGGCGCCCGACGCGACGCUCAUCAGAGCCCACAAAAGGUGUUGGUUGAUAUAGACAGCAGGACGGUGGCCAUGGAAGUCGGAAACCGCUAAGGAGUGUGUAACAACUCACCUGCCGAAUCAAUCAGCCCUGAAAAUGGAUGGCGCUGGAGCGUCGGGCCUAUACCCGGCCGUCGCGGCG
rnacentral:ncRNA from 1 species